UACGUAGGUGGCAAGCGUUGUCCGGAUUUACUGGGCGUAAAGAGCGCGCAGGCGGUCGGAUCAGUCGAAUGUGAAAGCCCCCGGCUCAACUGGGGAGGGUCAUUUGAUACUGUCCGACUCGAAGGCAGGAGAGGGAAGCGGAAUUCCCGGUGUAGUGGUGAAAUUCGUAGAUAUUCGGAAGAACACCAGUGGCGAAGGCGACACACUGGCCCAUUACUGACGCUGAGGCUCGAAAGCGUGGGGAGCAAACAGG
rnacentral:rRNA from 1 species